rnacentral:rRNA from 1 species
UACGUAGGGGGCUAGCGUUGUUCGGAUUUAUUGGGCGUAAAGGGCAUGUAGGCGGUUACGCAAGUGUGGGUUUAAAGACCGGAGCUUAACUCCGUGUAUGGUCUGCAAACUACGUAACUAGAGUGCAGGAGGGGAGACUGGAAUUCCGCGUGUAGGGGUGAAAUCUGUAGAGAUGCGGAAGAAUACUUGUGGCGAAGGCGAGUCUCUGGCCUGUAACUGACGCUAAGGUGCGAAAGUGUGGGGAGCAAACAGG